rnacentral:rRNA from 1 species
GCUUACCAUGCAAGUCGAGCGCCCCGCAAGGGGAGCGGCAGACGGGUGAGUAACGCGUGGGAAUCUACCCAUCACUACGGAACAACUCCGGGAAACUGGAGCUAAUACCGUAUACGUCCUUCGGGAGAAAGAUUUAUCGGUGAUGGAUGAGCCCGCGUUGGAUUAGCUAGUUGGUGGGGUAAUGGCCUACCAAGGCGACGAUCCAUAGCUGGUCUGAGAGGAUGAUCAGCCACACUGGGACUGAGACACGGCCCAUACUCCUACGGGAGGCAGCAGUGGGGAAUAUUGGACAAUGGGCGCAAGCCUGAUCCAGCCAUGCCGCGUGAGUGAUGAAAGCCCUAGGGUUGUAAAGCUCUUUCAACGGUGAAGAUAUGACGGUCACCGUAGAAUAAGCCCCGGCUAACUUCGUGCCA